rnacentral:rRNA from 1 species
ACGAAGGGCCCAAGCGUUAAUCGGAAUUACUGGGCUUAAAGGGUGCGUAGGCGGACCUGAAAGCGCUUUGUGAAAUCCCACGGCUCAACCGUGGAAUGGCUGGGCGAACUGCAGGUCUUGAGGUAGGUAGAGGCUGUCGGAACUCUAGGUGUAGCGGUGAAAUGCGUAGAUAUCUAGAGGAACGCCGAAGGUGAAGACAGGCAGCUGGGCCUAUCCUGACGCUGAGGCACGAAAGCGUGGGGAGCGAACGG